UCACCACUGAUCACCGGGGUGCUCUCUUCAAUGCUCCAUUCUCGCUGACCUAUAAUAAGCCCAGAACAAUUUUGAAUUUAUCACCUGCCACUCCAGCACCUCCCAACUCUCGUAGGAAAGAACUGAGGGAGCUGACUCCUGUAUGGUGUGUGCCCCUCUGGGCUACACAGACCGCCUUCAUUGGAUAAGAGAUUGGGCCCUCCAGGCCGGCAGCUGCGUUCUCCUUGAGCACUGCAAACACUGAAACAGAGCAGUAAGGAGAUGACUUUGCCUCCGUCAACUCUGACAUCUGUGUGAUCAUCUUCUAGUCAAACUCUCAAAGAGCAACCUCCUUCUCCAGGGAAGAGGCUCUCCUAUUUUGUUCCCUGAGUGCCUGUAAUUCAUCCGUCUCCUGGCCCCUUCUCAACAGCAUCCGUGUUUUCCUGAAAGAACCAGAAAUAAACAGAACCCAGACCUGGAAGCUGGGCCCAGGGCACAUUAGUUAAAUAGGAGAUGCAGCCUGGGAGUUCCCUCAAGCAGUCAUGGACUCCUCCCUGACCACUGCCUGGCACAGCACCUCAGAAAUACCCAAGGGAUAAGUAUUUCAAAGGCCCCAGGCACUGAGGCUUGGAAAUGUGUAUGUGGGGGUGGGGAUGUAGGCCUUUAUAUUCCUCUUCUUGACACCUGACAGAGUUGAGAGUCCCACACUGACCAGUUCCUCUCCAGGCCAAGAACCAAGAAGGAAUCCCAUGCCCACAUGGGAUUCCUCUAUUAUCUCUUGAAAGUCAGAUACCUUCAACAGGCAGCGGUGAGGUUUUAGGUCUUUAUCUCAUACACAUCACCAAGCAUAAGACAUUUCAAGGUAAAACUAGACAGUGGAUGCUUAAUUAUCCACCAAUAUUGCCCAACAUAGGUUUGCAUAUAAAAUAUCUCAUAAUUCUAAUUAAGAACACAUACUGAUACAAGGCACCCUUAAGCAGUGAGGGACAUUCACCAGACAGGCACUAUCCCAAAUCAUUUUACGUCUGCCUGAGAGAAAAACACAGGGGCCAUAAUGAGCCCUAUCCAGCACUGGAGAGGCAAAGUGAACCCCCAUUCUUACCAUGGAGGGAUGUACUUAUACCUGAGGGGUGAGUUCCUAUGUGAAAAAAACUAAAAGAGGACCCAACAGAGCUAUGGGCCCUCCAACACAGGAAAGAAGACAUACUUUUGCCACUUCAUUUUUCAGAGAAGCAAGAAGGACCCUUUCAAAUACCCUUCAGAGAAACCCAACACAAAGUGGCCUCAAGAAUCUCACAUAGCAAGAAUCACAAGGGAGACUGGCUGCCGCAGUGAUGGAUCUAGCAGCUUGAUGACAUCACCAAGGAACCAUGUUGUUUCUACCUCUGCUCUGCUUUCCUUGGUUGUGAGCCUUGGGCUAGUAGCUAGAUGCUUGCAGUGGCUUCAGGCAUAAUACUCAGAAGCUUUAAUAUACCUUUCCUAGAGGUAUACCUAACAGACUUCCCCUUUUGAUUGGCCAGAAUUGGGUCACAUUCCUAUGUCUAAGCCAAUCACAGGCAAGAGGAUUGGGACCACAGUGAUUACCUGGAACCAAUCAGGACCCACAUUUUGGACUGUGGGUGGGCGCAACCUGGACUGGCUAGGGAGAAGUUGAUACUUAAACAAAAUUAGGUUUUACUAGUGAGAAAGAAGGUAAACCCACAGCUUUGGCAUGUAGCAGGCACCAAAUAUAUAUCAUUUCACUUUAAGUGGUUUGCCAAAGGACACAGUCCUGAGUAGCAGAGGCGGAACUCACAUCCAGAGCGGGGAGGAAAGUGCUAAGGAUAAACUGGGCUUGGUUCCACCCUGGAGAGUCCCCACGAUGAAGGAGCCUCCUUCUCUGGGAAACUGACUCUUUUGUCAUCCUGAAAGUGGGGGCCACAGCAAUACUUCCUGAGCAGGAGACACACCCCUCAUUCCAUGUGAUCCCCGUGUCCCACCUCUGUCUACAUCCAACCAGCUUAGCUAUCACAUCAAAACCACAUUUUCCACCCCUUCUGUACAAAAUAACACCAAACGUCUGACACUUUUCCUCCUGCCUAUAUUUGACUUAUGGCUACAAUUAGAAGAUUUCUCUCACAUUGUCAGUGGGCCAACAGAUAUCUUUUGCAAAUCCACAGCACUGCCAUCCCAGCUUCUCACUCAAAUAGUUAAAAUGAGGAACCUUUCCUCCACCUUCCUUGAUGCCAGCCCUGCCCCCACCCACCCGCCUCCCAUUGGCUGGGUCUGGGCUGCCUGGGACAGCUCAGGGUUGCUGGAGAAGUUGGCUGUUCUCUUUCAACAAAGAUCCUGAAAAACAGGAGAGCUACUUACUCUCCCCACCCAAAAACCACCGGGGAAGAUUAGGAGAAUGCUGUCCCAUCAAGGGAAUGGGCUAAGUCCCCAAUAAAAGCUUUAUUACAUGUUGAGAGGGCUCCUCUCUUUAAGAACAGACAGACCUUAACUUUGAUAGGUACCCCAGCUUCUUAUCUACCCCUUUUUGCUGUGUCUUCCUAAAUGGACCACUCUAGUGUCCUGGUCUCUGGGUUCAAAUUCUGGCUCUACUUCUUGAACAAGCUCCUCAUCUCUUUGUGUCUCUCUUCCCUUCUGUCAAAGAGGGGUCCUGGUAGCACCUGUGGCAAUAGAACUGUUCUGGGCAUUAAACGAAGCCGUUAGUGGUGUGUCUGGCAUUAGUAAGUGCUCUCUGAAUCAUAGUUUUUAUUGUGACUAUUAUUUGUGUGUGUUUAUUUAACACCGAGCAUUGAAUACCACCCGGCACAACCCUGGUGAUCUGCAUCUGGUUCCCCAGUCAUCUUCACCACUGCCCCGGAAGACAUCAGCCUCAUCUCCAUGUGAGCAAACCCAGGCCCACGGAGCCAGGAAUAUGUCCAAAGUCUCACAGCAGGAAGUAGGAAAAUGGAGCUUGCCUCCCAGAUCCAGCUGAGUCCAGGGUUGACACUUUUUCCACUACAUCGACUGCCUUGCAAAUCCAUUUCAUCUGGGAAAGAUUUUUGAAGAACUUCAGGAAAUUGGAGAAACCUGAGAGGUGGGAAAGGCUGUCACCCAAGCAAGACACAGGCCCACGACUCCAGGGGUCACCGGACGUCCUGGGACUCGUCCAAGAAGAUGGCGCUGUGGAACGCUGGUGUCCUCCCGGGUCUGUGGCUUUUGUUUCUGCUACCUGAUUCUCCAGCGUGAUCCUAGGAAACCUAGUAAAAAGAGAAAUGCCGCAGGAUCCCCUCCUGGAAGCAAUCUGGGAAGAAAAAUCCCACCUGAAACUUACAUAAUAUCAUAUGCAAUGUUACUUGAUUUAAAAAAAAUCAGGCAGGGCCUCCCC